CGAACGGUAACAGGAAGAAGCUUGCUUCUUUGCUGACGAGUGGCGGACGGGUGAGUAAUGUCUGGGAAACUGCCUGAUGGAGGGGGAUAACUACUGGAAACGGUAGCUAAUACCGCAUAACGUCGCAAGACCAAAGAGGGGGACCUUCGGGCCUCUUGCCAUCGGAUGUGCCCAGAUGGGAUUAGCUAGUAGGUGGGGUAACGGCUCACCUAGGCGACGAUCCCUAGCUGGUCUGAGAGGAUGACCAGCCACACUGGAACUGAGACACGGUCCAGACUCCUACGGGAGGCAGCAGUGGGGAAUAUUGCACAAUGGGCGCAAGCCUGAUGCAGCCAUGCCGCGUGUAUGAAGAAGGCCUUCGGGUUGUAAAGUACUUUCAGCGGGGAGGAAGGGAGUAAAGUUAAUACCUUUGCUCAUUGACGUUACCCGCAGAAGAAGCACCGGCUAACUCCGUGCCAGCAGCCGCGGUAAUACGGAGGGUGCAAGCGUUAAUCGGAAUUACUGGGCGUAAAGCGCACGCAGGCGGUUUGUUAAGUCAGAUGUGAAAUCCCCGGGCUCAACCUGGGAACUGCAUCUGAUACUGGCAAGCUUGAGUCUCGUAGAGGGGGGUAGAAUUCCAGGUGUAGCGGUGAAAUGCGUAGAGAUCUGGAGGAUACCGGUGGCGAAGCGGCCCCCUGGACGAAGACUGACGCUCAGGUGCGAAAGCGUGGGGAGCAAACA
rnacentral:rRNA from 1 species